UAGGGAAUCUUCGGCAAUGGACGAAAGUCUGACCGAGCAACGCCGCGUGAGUGAAGAAGGUUUUCGGAUCGUAAAACUCUGUUGUUAGAGAAGAACAAGGACGUUAGUAACUGAACGUCCCCUGACGGUAUCUAACCAGAAAGCCACGGCUAACUACGUGCCAGCAGCCGCGGUAAUACGUAGGUGGCAAGCGUUGUCCGGAUUUAUUGGGCGUAAAGCGAGCGCAGGCGGUUUCUUAAGUCUGAUGUGAAAGCCCCCGGCUCAACCGGGGAGGGUCAUUGGAAACUGGGAGACUUGAGUGCAGAAGAGGAGAGUGGAAUUCCAUGUGUAGCGAUGAAAUGCGUAGAUAUAUGGAGGAACACCAGUGGCGAAGGUGGCUCUCUGGUCUGUAACUGACGCUGAGGCUCGAAAGCGUGGGGAGCAAACAGG
rnacentral:rRNA from 1 species